AGCGAACGCUGGCGGCAGGCCUAACACAUGCAAGUCGAACGAACCCUUCGGGGUUAGUGGCGGACGGGUGAGUAACACGUGGGAACGUACCCUUAGGUUCGGAAUAACUCAGGGAAACUCGAGCUAAUACCGAAUGUGCCCUUCGGGGGAAAGAUUUAUCGCCUUUGGAGCGGCCCGCGUCUGAUUAGCUAGUUGGUGAGGUAAAGGCUCACCAAGGCUACGAUCAGUAGCUGGUCUGAGAGGAUGACCAGCCACACUGGGACUGAGACACGGCCCAGACUCCUACGGGAGGCAGCAGUGGGGAAUCUUGCGCAAUGGGCGAAAGCCUGACGCAGCCAUGCCGCGUGGAUGAUGAAGGUCUUAGGAUUGUAAAAUCCUUUCACCGGUGAAGAUAAUGACUGUAGCCGGAGAAGAAGCCCCGGCUAACUUCGUGCCAGCCGCCGCAGUAAAAC
rnacentral:rRNA from 1 species